rnacentral:lncRNA from 1 species
AAAAAAAAAAGUAAACUUCAAAUGCCAUCAUAUAGUUUCAUACUUUCUCACUUUAGUACAUGUAGUUUAAAUUGUAUCAAGUUAGUGUUCUGUGGUUUUAUUUUUCUCUUUUCGUCAGCUUCUCCGUUAAUAUUUUAUUAAAUUAUAUACAAAAAAUUUCAGAUAUCCUACCUAGAUAUAUUUAUUGAAUAUUCACUUUCUUCCCCUUUAGUUUUAACUUUGUCACUGAUUUAACAGAAAAAAAUAGUGGAAUCGAUAAUAAAAAGAUAAAAAUGAAACCACAUGACACUAAAUUGAUAGACUUUAAAUCUCAGGAUACUAAACUGAGAAAGUGUGAAACGACAUGAGAGUUUUUCCAAAAAAAAGUACAUGAAACACCACACUGACUCCAAUAGUAAACACCAUGAGAAGAAUACAGUAUAAAUACUAUUAAUAAGAUAUAAUAUUAUUAUUUGUGACAAUAUAUAUAUUUAUUUGAGUAUGACUGGUACACUAUCAUUAGCACGGAGGCCUUCGUAGUAGCAAAUUAUUUUCACUGAUACAGCUUCCAAAUCGACGAUCGGCUCUGUUGAACUUAAUCUAUACUAUUGAAAGUAUUUGCAAACUAAAUUUUAUAAUUUUUCAACAUCAUCUACCUAUUCAAACGAGUAGUCUAAAUAUAAAAAUUUUAUAAAAAAUGAUGAUAAAAAGGUUUAAAAUUAAGAUAAGAGAUACUAACCUUACUCUAAAUAGUGAAAAGAAUUUUCUAUAAAACUUUCAUCUUAUUUUACAUCGUUAAAUUCAAAAGCACAUCACAUCGAUCAUUAAAAUUGUCAAUUUUGAAAUCUUUUGCUCACUAGCCGAAUAAUGUCGAAAAAUUAUGAAAUUUAGUUUUCAAAUACUUUCAGCAGUAUAGAUCAAGUUAAAUGAAAUCGACCGUCGAUUUGUAAGUUGCAUUAUUGAAAAUAACUAGGUAGCAUGGAGGCCUCUAUGCUACCAGUAGUAUAGCAGCCUAACUCAUUAGAGUCCGGCUGCUAUAUUAUAGGUAGUAAAGAGGCCUCCGUGCUACUAAUAGAAAUGAAAAUAAUAAUUUUGACAAAAUAUUGUUAUAUUUCUCAUAGGAAUAAAAAUAACAAAAAUUUUAUUAAUAGUUCAUACAUUUUUUUAAAAAAAUUCACUAUACAAAAUUUAUUUAUAUUUUUUAAAAACAAUUAUAUGUAUUCAUAAAA